AGUGGCCUCGUUAAAGCCUUCAUAGGACAACGUCAUGGACAAACCCUAAGAGAGCUAAGAGUACCACACAUGUCAUGGACUAAUAAGAGAGUCCAAUUCAUGUCACUUUGGACCAUUACAAUAAAAGAAUAAGUCAAAAAUAAAAACUAACACAAAGACCUUCGACGAGCACUGCAACUAGAGACUAACACAGUAGACCCACAUGAGAGGACCGCAGAAACCCCAAAUAGUAAACCCACAACAAAGGACCGUAGAACAUCCCAAUUGUCAAAAGAAGCCUUCUAUGAGCAAAAUCAUAGUCAUUUGACACCCAUACAAAUUGUAAGGCAUACCAUAGCAAAAAUCAGGAGAGAACAUAGAGGAGGAACACAGAAACAACAAUAAAAAGACCCUUGAGAAGCACUCCACUUCAACUCGGAACUUGAUAAAGAAAAUCUCCUAUGACCAAGCAUAGUUUUUCGGUCAGCACAGAGUAAAGAAGAGCACCACAUCUCAACAACUACCACCAAGGUCGCUGCUGCCGCCACCUUUAAAAAAAAGACAAAACAUCAGCCACCAAGUAUCACAACUCUCCCAAGGAGAGACACAAUCCAAAGUCACUACUGUCGCCGCCGCUGAGACAAAAACAACACUAGUCACCUAGAACACUGCAAAAACAACCAAACAAAACAAACAGACAAAUAUACCUAGAUCCAAACAGAUCUAGACUAUUUGGGGAGGGGAAGGAGAGGAGAAGCGGGGAUAAGAGGAAGGGAAAGUAUGAGAGAAAAAGAAUGGGAGAUAAGGAGAGGAAGGGGAAGAUGGGCGGAGGGGGGGAGGAGGGGCAGUGGCCA
rnacentral:lncRNA from 1 species